rnacentral:lncRNA from 1 species
UGAAUACCUCACCACCCAGCCCACCAGAAGCAACAAUAUUGCUCUAAAUACCAAAAAAGAUUAGUAGCUGAACUAGGUUAGUUCCCCGUGUGUUACACGGGUUGAACAAUCUAAACUAUAUAAUAAAUAUUUCUUGUAAAUGCAAACCAAAGAUGGAGACGUUUAUAUACCAAAUUGACAUAAAUGGGUUAAUAUAAAGAUGAUAUAUUUGAGUGUGUUCCCUUUUCAUCAAACGAAUUUUAAAAUUUAUGGUUAG